rnacentral:rRNA from 1 species
UGGGGAAUAUUGCACAAUGGGGGAAACCCUGAUGCAGCGACGCCGCGUGAACGAAGAAGGUAUUCGUAUCGUAAAGUUCUGUCCUAUGGGAAGAUAAUGACAGUACCAUAGAAGAAAGCUCCGGCUAAAUACGUGCCAGCAGCCGCGGUAAUACGUAUGGAGCGAGCGUUGUCCGGAAUUAUUGGGCGUAAAGGGUACGCAGGCGGUUUAAUAAGUCGAAUGUUAAAGAUCGGGGCUCAACCCCGCAAAGCAUUGGAAACUGAUAAACUUGAAUAGUGGAGAGGAAAGUGGAAUUCCUAGUGUAGUGGUGAAAUACGUAGAUAUUAGGGGGAAUACCAGUAGCGAAGGCGACUUUCUGGACACAAACUGACGCUGAGGUACGAAAGCGUGGGGAGCAAACAGG